rnacentral:rRNA from 1 species
AAAUUGAGGGGGGCCCGCACAAGCGGCGGAGCAUGCGGAUUAAUCGAUGCAACGCGAAGAACCUUACCAAGGCUUGACAUACACCGGUAACGCCCAGAGAUGGGUGCCCCUUUGUGGUCGGUGUACAGGUGGUGCAUGGUUGUCGUCAGCUCGUGUCGUGAGAUGUUGGGUUAAGUCCCGCAACGAGCGCAACCCUCGUCCUAUGUUGCCAGCGGGUCAUGCCGGGGACUCAUGGGAGACUGCCGGGGUCAACUCGGAGGAAGGUGGGAUGACGUCAAAUCAUCAUGCCCCUUAUGUCUUGGGCUUCACGCAUGCUACAAUGGCCGGUACAAAGGGCUGCGAUACCGCGAGGUGGAGCGAAUCCCAGAAAGCCGGUCUCAGUUCGGAUUGGGGUCUGCAACUCGACCCCAUGAAGUCGGAGUCGCUAGUAAUCGCAGAUCAGCAACGCUGCGGUGAAUACGUUCCCGGGCCUU